rnacentral:rRNA from 1 species
UGCGUAGGCGGAAUAUUAAGUCAGUGGUGAAAUCCUGCGGCUCAACCGUAGAACUGCCAUUGAUACUGAUAUUCUUGAAUGUAGUUGAGGUAGGCGGAAUGUGUAAUGUAGCGGUGAAAUGCUUAGAUAUUACACAGAACACCGAUUGCGAAGGCAGCUUACUAAACUAUGAUUGGCGCUGAGGCACGAAAGCGUGGGGAGCGAACAGGAUUAGAUACCCUGGUAGUCC